rnacentral:rRNA from 1 species
GACGAACGCUGUCUGCGUGCCUAAUACAUGCACGUAGAACGCAGUUGCGACCGGGUGAGUAACGCGUAGGUAACUGCCUCAUAGCGGGGGAUGACUAUUGGAAACGAUAGCUAAUACCGCAUCCUGUGAGAUUGACCUGCGUUGUAUUCGCUAUUUGGUGAGGUAAAGUCUCACCAAGGCGACGCUACAUAGCCGACCUGCGAGGGUGAUCGGCCACACUGGUACGGAGACACGGCCAAGACUCCGAAGGUAGGCAGCAGUAGGAAAUCUGCGGCAAUGGACGGAAGUCUGACCGAGCAACGCCGCGUGAGUGAAGAAGGUCUUCGGAGCUUAAAGCUCUGUUGUUAGAGAAGCGGUAACUAACCAGAAAGGGACGGCUAACUACGUGCCAGCCGCCGCGGUAAUAC